rnacentral:rRNA from 1 species
GAUGAACGCUGGCGGCGUGCCUAAUACAUGCAAGUCGAGCGAACGGACGAGAAGCUUGCUUCUCUGAUGUUAGCGGCGGACGGGUGAGUAACACGUGGAUAACCUACCUAUAAGACUGGGAUAACUUCGGGAAACCGGAGCUAAUACCGGAUAAUAUUUUGAACCGCAUGGUUCAAAAGUGAAAGACGGUCUUGCUGUCACUUAUAGAUGGAUCCGCGCUGCAUUAGCUAGUUGGUAAGGUAACGGCUUACCAAGGCAACGAUGCAUAGCCGACCUGAGAGGGUGAUCGGCCACACUGGAGCUGAGACACGGUCCAGACUCCUACGGGAGGCAGCAGUAGGGAAUCUUCCGCAAUGGGCGAAAGCCUGACGGAGCAACGCCGCGUGAGUGAUGAAGGUCUUCGGAUCGUAAAACUCUGUUAUUAGGGAAGAACAUAUGUGUAAGGAACUGUGCACAUCUUGACGGUACCUAAUCAGAAAGCCACGGCUAACUACGUG